UACGAAGGGUGCAAGCGUUGUCCGGAAUCACUGGGCGUGAAGGGCGCGUAGGCGGCUCAUGAAGGCUGUGGUGAAAGUCCGGGGCUCAACCUCGGAUCGGCCGUGGCGACUCGUGGGCUGGAGCACUGUAGAGGCGGGUGGAAUUCCGGGUGUAGCGGUGGAAUGCGUAGAGAUCCGGAAGAACACCAGUGGCGAAGGCGGCCCGCUGGGCAGUGGCUGACGCUGAGGCGCGACAGCGUGGGGAGCAAACAGG
rnacentral:rRNA from 1 species